UUCCCCCUGGGCUGACCAAAAAC
rnacentral:piRNA from 1 species